rnacentral:misc_RNA from 1 species
GAUGAAGAACGCAGCAAAAUGCGAUAAGUAAUGUGAAUUGCAGAAUUCAGUGAAUCAUCGAAUCUUUGAACGCACAUUGCGCCCGCCAGUAUUCUGGCGGGCAUGCCUGUUCGAGCGUCAUUUCAACCCUCAAGCUCAGCUUGGUGUUGGGACUCGCGGUAACCCGCGUUCCCCAAAUCGAUUGGCGGUCACGUCGAGCUUCCAUAGCGUAGUAAUCAUACACCUCGUUACUGGUAAUCGUCGCGGCCACGCCGUAAAACCCCAACUUCUGAAUGUUGACCUCGGAUCAGGUAGGAAUACCCGCUGAACUUAAGCAUAUCAAUAAGGGAGGA